AUCCCAGAUAAGCUUUCUUUUUGUUUAUCUGAUUCAUGGGAGGCCAAUAUGGAUGAUGGAAGUUUUGCUGAUAGCACCUUUUUUUUUUUUUUUUUUUUUUUGCUUUUAGGAAGGUGUUUAAUAGUAGCUUUACAUAUAAAG